rnacentral:rRNA from 1 species
CACGUAGGGCGCAAGCGUUGUCCGGAAUUACUGGGCGUAAAGCGUGCGCAGGCGGUUCGUUAUGUCCGAUGUGAAAGCCCCGAGCUCAACUUGGGAAUGGCAUUGGAAACUGGCGGGCUGGAGUGUGGCAGAGGGGGGUGGAAUUCCACGUGUAGCAGUGAAAUGCGUAGAGAUGUGGAGGAACACCGAUGGCGAAGGCAGCCCCCUGGGCCAACACUGACGCUCAGGCACGAAAGCGUGGGGAGCAAACAGG